rnacentral:rRNA from 1 species
AUACGUAGGGAGCGAACGUUGUCCGGAAUUACUGGGCGUAAAGGGCGCGUAGGCGGCGCUUCAAGUCGUCUGUCAAAUGGGAGGGCUUAACCCUUUUUCGCAGACGAAACUGGAGAGCUUGAGAAGCAGAGAGGCAAACAGAAUUCCUGGUGUAGCGGUGAAAUGCGUAGAUAUCAGGAAGAAUACCAGUGGCGAAGGCGGUUUGCUGGCUGCAUUCUGACGCUGAAUCGCGAAAGCCAGGGGAGCAAACGGGAUUAGAUACCCCGGUAGUCCUGGCAGUAAACGAUGUAUGCUGGGUGUGAGACUAGCGAUAGUUUCGUGCCGAAGUUAACGCGAUAAGCAUACCGCCUGGGGAGUACGGUCGCAAGAUUGAAACUCAAAUGAAUUGGCGGGG